GCAUUAAUGGGGUAGUGGUAACCUGGGUCGUUGCCAUCCCUCUACAUCCGUCUGGGUCGACCCGCCGGGGGUUCGAUUCCCUCUUAAUGCA